rnacentral:rRNA from 1 species
CCCUUAGAUGUCCUGGGCCGCACGCGCGCUACACUGAACGGAUCAGCGCGUUUUCCCUUCCCGAGAGGGACGGGUAACCUGCUGAACCCCGUUCGUGGUAGGGAUCGGGGCUUGCAAUUAUUCCCCGUGAACCAGGAAUGCCCAGUAAGUGCAAGUCAUAAGCUUGCGUUGAUUACGUCCCUGCCCUUUGUACACACCGCCCGUCGCUACUACCGAUUGGACGUUUUAGUGAGGUACUCGGACUGAGCCUCAGAAGAUUCACGUCUUUUGUGCUGCUCGGGAAGAUUCCCAAACUUGAGCGUUUAGAGGAAGUAAAAGUCGUAACA